CCUCUCUGAGUUGGAGGAGGGGACGCUGAACCGCGUGCUGCUGCUGCAUUCAGUGAUGUCCAGCAUGCUCCGGCCCCACAACAGCCCAUCUCUGGAUGUAAGUCAGCAUCUGGAUCUAAAUAAAGAUGAGGUCAGAAAGGGCCUACCUGGGAACAUGAAGGAUCUUCCCUGGGGGGUGAAGUUUGACAUUCCCUCCAUCACCCUGGAGUCAGACAGUGGCAGCUGCAGAUCAUCUAAAAUGUCACCCUGUAGGAAGGAGGGAUCUCUGGAUAACCACCUCAGCCCAACUUUCUCUGGUUUGCCAAAAACCCCAGGUCAGCAGCAGAAACCAACAGGUAUUACUGCAGGAAAGAUGACUCCCAGGCUGCGUUCCCCCACGUCUCUAGACUUGCAUGGGAAAAAGUCACCUCCAGACAGUGCUGCUGUUCCACUGAGUCUGGAGACCUUGGAGGAAAUUGCUGCCAACACCAAAAGCAUCUCCCUCGUUGCAGCCAGUCGCCGUUCCAGAGCCCAACACAGAGAUCCUGGAAGCAAAGUCUCUUCAGCCCACUUCCCUGAGGAGGACAUGCUUAAGCAGAAGUAUCUGGAGGCCAGUUCCAC
rnacentral:lncRNA from 1 species